UACAGAGGUCUCAAGCGUUGUUCGGAUUCAUUGGGCGUAAAGGGUGCGUAGGCGGCGCGGUAAGUCGGGUGUGAAAUCUCGGAGCUUAACUUCGAAACUGCAUUCGAUACUGCCGUGCUUGAGGACUGGAGAGGAGACUGGAAUUUACGGUGUAGCGGUGAAAUGCGUAGAGAUCGGAAAGAACACCAACGGCGAAAGCACUCUGCUGGGCCGACACUGACACUGAGAGACGAAAGCUAGGGGAGCGAAUGGG
rnacentral:rRNA from 1 species